UACAGAGGGUGCAAACGUUGCUCGGAAUUAUUGGGCGUAAAGCGCACGUAGGCGGCAUCGUAAGUCCGAUGUGAAAGCCCCAGGCUCAACCUGGGAAGUGCAUUGGAUACUGUCGGGCUCGAGUCCGGAAGAGGAGUGUGGAAUUCCUGGUGUAGCGGUGAAAUGCGCAGAUAUCAGGAGGAACACCAAUGGCGAAGGCAGCACUCUGGGACGUGACUGACGCUGAGACGCGAAAGCGUGGGGAGCAAACAGG
rnacentral:rRNA from 1 species